CAGCGAAAAUUCACCGUCCUUUCGCGACUUUGUUCUCCUACAUUCGCCAUCGUGGCAUGAAAUUCAAGUAGAUGGUUUCAGCCAAGACUCGUUGAAACUUAAAUAAAAGUAGGACAUCUAUCGUAACUGUUCUGUCAACAAUAAGCAAUUACCUUUACCGUGUAAAUCUCUAAACUUUGCUAAAUACGAUGAACGAAAAAAUAUUUUUUUCUGACUUGCAAAAGAAUAAAAAGUUAUAGUUCACGAUUCAUCUGACGCGCGAUCGAUCAUGGAUAAAAAGAGAACAGGUUCAGUCAGACGAAGGAGAAAUUUUCAAGAAAGUCGAUAAAAUAGCGCUAAACGAUGAAUCACGCGAACAGUGUUCCACGAGCUCGUCGAAGUGUAUAACAGAGUUAUUCAGCCAAUGAGAAAUAAUAAGUGGCUCGGAAAAUUGAACGGUGCCUAGCAAUUAGAAUGUUCAUCAAGAUGAAAUAUCGAUAAAAUCAAUGAAAACGAUAAACUAAUACAGGAAACAUGGAUGGAAGUUACGUGAAAAAUGUUUUGUUGGCCCACAAAAUACCGCAAAAGAUAUAACUUACUCUAAUCUGACCACCAUUAUCUCCACUCUUCGUCCUGUUAUUUUCUGUUUACUUCGGAUGUUCUUUUCACGGUUACGAUUGUGGCUUUUAUAUCGUUAUCAAAUUGAGGCAAUUGUCUUUAUUCUACUAAUACACAAGUUAUCAGUUAAUUGUUUUUUUUUUUCAGAUUGAAUAGUUAAGUAAAUAAUGUUAUAGUUAUUUUUACCGACACCUGUUCUAGCAUUGCGAUAUGCAUUGUGAAACAUGUUUCGUUAUACUUGCAAACGGAAGUUUAUUGUAUCAUUAAGCUUUUAUUUCACACCCUUGAAAGGCACGAACUAGGCACACCGUUAUUCGUGUCAUGGAUCACUCUUUAGACUGCCAAGGAGAUUCGUUGUUGUCAAUGAACGGAUGGAAAAUAAGAAGAGAGACAGGAAACUAUGGAAUGAAGUCAUUAAUUCCUUAUGAUGAAUGAUAAAAAUCUGAUUCAAAUCAUGGAGGACAGUUUACCAAAGUAUGUCCACCCUGUUCCCUAUAUUCUGAACCUAUUUUAUUCAACGUCCUGUACGCGAAAGAGCGAGUAGAAGAGGGCCACGAUUUCCAAGAUAGAGUUGCGAGCAACGGAGGUGGAGAAAGUUCCUGUCCUCCCUGGCGUCUCCACGCCUGGUGAUCGUUUCUACCAUAGGAAACACUUCCUCGAGACCCGCCAAGUACCCACGCGCCUUAUCCGAAGAAAGAAAGUUGUUGCGCCGCACGAAACCUGGAGAUUUUCUCCUUGGAAACAUGCUCCUAUCUCUUUGGCCGACAUGCCCUGGUUAAAGCAGCAUCCUCUCCUUUUUUCUCCUACAUCAAACCUGACCAUCCGGAUGAUCUGUGCGAGGCUAUUCGUUGGUCACAGACGAUCUCUAUUUUAGCGAACAAGAUUUUCAUCAGAACCUUGAGCAUCCAGUCGAAUCGCUCGAAGGUGUUCCUCCUUGGACAGCUGAACGAAUGGAACGACUCAGCAGUUUGUAAUCGUUAUUAUAUUUAAUGUGUAGCGCUUCAUCAGGGAUUCGUAGAACCGUAGCUUGCACAGCAAUGUAUUGUCUCGGGUAGAUUAAAGAUACAGUAUCGUUCGAAAGUUCACUAAUUCGGUUUAUCGAGGGUUCGCAUUUUAAUUAUCUUGAGUAAGAUUACAUUAAGCUGUCGUGUUAUCGCGAAAGUACGGUCAUUGCGAGACACGAGCUUAUGUGAAAGCAGGUAUCAAAGCCAAACGCCUAUAGAGCUUGUGUUUGGAAUCAUAAAUACAAGUUAGCCGAUAUAACAGGCCUUAAUCGAGACUCGAAGAGAAUUGAUCGAGCUGUACCUUUACACUGGUACGGUUGCCUCCUCGAAGCUAGAGGAAGCAUCGAAAACGAAAACCUCUGUUACCAUAACGGUACAGAUUCAGCAAUCUCCGAGUGUCCUCGGGAGACGAAAAAAGGCCAGGAAUGUCUAAAAGAGUUAUCUCUCAUUGGUCGUUGUAUAACUCGGCCUUUAAACAGUUUCUAACGUUGUUCGCGUGUUAAAUCUGGCCGAUCGUUCACCUCGAAUAAUCCGUUUCGUCGAGGUAGAAUCGUCAGGUUCAACAACCCGGCUUUGUGGCUGUUAAUAAAGAGAGGCAACGCCUCCGAAAAACGUCCCUGACCCGGUGACAUCAGUGGCUCCAAACUCAAGUUUUAUUUAACCACAAGGACUUUGAAUUUUCGUACGAAGUUGAGCAUGAUUUGGACACCGUGUAAUUUAACAAUCGGUGCACGAGUGGCUUCCUCCGACCACCAAGGAUUAAUUCACAUUUCAACGGGAUACGCUUCCGUUUAUUGCCACCGGAGUGUUCGUUUGAUUGUACCUGUUGUAAUGGAGCAGGUAAAGGGGUAGCGAUUCAGGUAUCAGUUUGAAGAAUUUUUUCUUGAAUUUUCCUUUCUAAACGUCUACGCUAAAGUAAUCCAUCAGCGUACGAAGAUUCAUUAAAAUACUUCAAGGUAUUACUUCAAGAUCGAAUGCGAAAGGUCUUUGUCUCUGAAAUGUUCUAUCAAUUCGAAACGAAUCUCGUCGACAGCCUAACGAUUUCUCUUCUGCCAUCGUCCCCGGAAGUCCUUCGUUCCGGAUAAUUGAGCGGAAUCUUAAUAGGACCAUCCACGACGGACCUUGAAAUUUCGUUCGCACAGAACGAGUUACGGAAAGAUGCGAAAUGCGUGGAAGAGACGUGAAAUCGAAUUGGGCGAAGGGAGAGUUUACGAAGAGGAUUUUACGCAACGGGAUUUAAUAAUCGCUAGGAUUGCGCAACAAUUGCGUAGAGAACACGCGAGUUAGCGUGGUGGUUUUACAGUAAAAUCGUUCGAUAAUAGGAACGACAAACACGCAGAUUCUUUUUGAAAGAGCUGGUCAAGACGUUGCGGAGGGUCGCGAGGAAAUUUCGUAAGAAUCGUGUCCACGGACACGGCUAGGCUAUCGGCGUUUUCCAUGGAGAUAACCAACAGGGCUCUCUUUUCUCGUGCUCUCCCAAGGAUCAUUCGAUACGCGUGCUGUCGCGAUAAGAAAAAAAGCAGGGAAUAAUUACCACGUUAUACAACAUUUCCUCGUUAUUAUUUCUCUAACUGAUGGAGACUUCUAUGGUGAGAGAUGUUUCUUCCGCGCUCGACAAGAAUCUGUAUAGAAGACAAAGAAAUUUUGUUUUCGAUUCAGAAAACAAAAUUUGUCUCGCACCUGUUUUCUGUCUAGCGAUGAAGGAACUGGUUUCUAGUUUUAUAUUCAACAAACUAAAGUCAUCUCUUGAAUGUCACGAAACAGAAGAACGGGAAUGAAAAAAUAUGCAAAAUAAUUUUAUCUCAGAAAGAAUACACGGGAAAGAGUUGUUUAUUAAAGGUAACGGGUUGUGAAACAGCAUCGAAAGUGUGAAACAUUUCAAUUUAGACAUAAAGCUUAAUAAUUGAAGCUGAUAAUUAACGAGGUCGACGAGGAAGAAAUCACGGCGGCCUUUGUGUGUUGGCUUACAAAAAGGUAUUAAUAGCGUCUGAACCGUCCUCGACGUUGGAAACUCAUGGUCGUCGGGAUAGCGUCGUAGAAUUUCUUCUAAAAUGUAUUUUCCAUCGGUGCCCGAUCGAUGUGGAAACGGGCCUAAAAGAACGUUCGUCGCGUUUUACGAUGUUUGCCACGAUAUUAGGCUUCGUUAUAACUUCGCAGCGUGCUUAUCUUGCGAUAAUAUUCUCUGUUGUCGCUAAGAAAAAAAAAGACGAAUCUACAUGUUUCGCGCUCGUAAACGAAUACAGAAGAUUGUAAAAGCGGACAUUAUUCAUGAUUCCACAUCGAUUUUAUUGUUCUCCUUAUCGAGCGAGGAUCUUUCGUGUUGUGAUAAUUGAUAGCGCAAUAUCGUGGCACCGCGAGCCUCUUGUUCGAACGUGUUAAUAAUUAAGAGUUAAUUCAUGCACCACUCGAAAUAAUUAGGAGUCAUUAUCGUUCGGUGUACUGUUUCAAUAUUUGAGAAACCUCGGUAUACCAUAUAAGUUAUCGAACAUGACUUAUCUUUCCAAUGUUUGUCUCCAUGAAUUAUCUGAAGAUGGAAUUCCUAAUUAAUUUAGCGGUGCACCUGUCGAAAUGCGGAAUAAAGAUUGCGUCCCGAAUUAUAAGAAUUAUAUACGAUAACUGAAAUUUAUCGAGAUACUCGAACGUCUCUUUAUCGCAUACUGGUUGUAAGGAAAAUUAAUUUAUUAACCAAUUGGUAGAAUCGCUUAAUGGAUUUCGUGAUUACUCGAAGCCGUAAUGACGCGGGUACUUGUCGGAAACGCGUUUACGUAUUACAAAAAGUGCCUCGAUAACAGCUCGUUGCUGUACUUGUGGAAGAUUAUGCGUCCGUGUUCAACGAAGAUCAGCACUUUCCCUUUGUAAGCAAAUCCGGUUGCGAUCCUUUAUUUUCCUUGAUACCGGUCGACUAGGAAACGAAGUUUCUUCGAGGAAAAUCUGUUAAAUAAACUGAAACAAGAUUCGUAUAAA